rnacentral:rRNA from 1 species
UACGUAGGGUGCGAGCGUUGUCCGGAAUUAUUGGGCGUAAAGAGCUCGUAGGCGGUCUGUCGCGUCGAUCGUGAAAACUUGGGGCUUAACCCUGAGCUUGCGGUCGAUACGGGCAUGACUGGAGUUCGGCAGGGGAGACUGGAAUUCCUGGUGUAGCGGUGAAAUGCGCAGAUAUUAGGAGGAACACCGGUGGCGAAGGCGGAUCUCUGGGCCUUACCUGACGCUGAGGAGCGAAAGCAUGGGGAGCGAACAGG